rnacentral:miRNA from 14 species
GUAAGAUUCCUUCAUUUCAUCCAAA